CACAAAUCAAUCAAAUUGAAAGGGGAUUUGGAGUCUAGGUAAAUGUAUGAGAUAAGAAUGGUGAUCACCUAAGUGUUUCUUGUAUCAAGCACAAAGAAGGAGGAAGGCGCAAGUCACUCAAAGGCACAAUCAUCACAAGAUCGCGGUAAAUCUCAUGCUUGAUUGCGGCGCAUUCGGAGCGAACACACAAUUGUCAACCU